UAAACGGUCAGGUUAUUAUUCCAAGGAACAAAAGACAAGAAGACACGCUCCCUAGGAAGUCCCAGCAGGAAUAACACUCAUGCAGGUGUCUCCUUCCACGUGGCGCAGAGAGGCAGCCCCAAGCAACCCCAGCUUACGUCAUCCUUUCGACCUCCGGUCUUACGAAGAGAGCUCUUUCUCUGUGUAUGGAGGUCACGUGCCCAUCCCUGCAGCCAUCUCUGAGGCCAGGGGCUGCAUCUUCUGUGAAGCUCUGUGAAGGUGCCAUUAUGACAGAGUGUGACAAAAAGUGAGUACGGCAGAGUCUCCUCUCCAUGAAAACCUACAUCAAAGUAGGAAAGAUGAGACAAGGACACAUUUGUCCAGAAGGCAGACUGUGACAAACUCCGUGAGAGAAGGACUGCUAAGAUCUUCUGCAAUUUUCAGGAAAGAAGAGAUCACACAGAGUUGGGUGAAUCAGUACGAGCUUGAUGAAGGAGUUUGGCUCCUGGGGAUGGUGUCCAUGCAGCAGGUACAAUAGCACAGGGGAAGAGGAGCUUCUGGUUUGAUAGCAUAGGGUAGAAAAAGGAAUCCUGAGCAAUGAGGCUGGAAGGCAGAGCUGGCGCAGGAUAUGCACAGAAAGCAGGCGGAGGUCAAGGACUGUUAGCUCGGACUAGAAAAGAGACAGCCAUACUUAGAUAUUGAAUUAUCAAGACUGAAGGCAGGGGAUGCAUGAUAAGGAAGAGGCUGUGAGUCAGAUCCUGAGUUAGUUUAGAAAAU